rnacentral:lncRNA from 1 species
CCACAGUAUGCUCUUUGUCUCCUGCCUGAAACCCAACUGACCCUGAUAAGCUUUUAUGAUCCUAGUUUUAUGAUGAGGAAAGGAACAUUCACAGGCCCAAUAUCACAGAGUCCUAACAAGCAUCAGGAUUUAACCUCAGAUAUCAUCACUCCAAGGACCAAUCCUUCCUCAGCUUCCCAUUCCAGAACCGGCAAAUGCAGCUGGCAGUUCUUCUCUGCUGGAAAAGACAGCCCUUCAGAGUUCAGCCCUGCGUUCUCCAGAGUGGCCAGGAGUGGGAGGUACUCAGGGACCAUUGCUGAGGACCUGAAGGCAUCUGGAGGGCAGGCAUGCCUUUGCUGGAUCACAGGAGAAAUUGGAACAACCGCCUAGAGCCUCCUUUAUACCCUGUGUCUAAAGAGAUGGCUUGUAGGUGUGUUCCAGGUAGGAUGAGGGAGGGAGACAUCCCUGAUGUCUGUGUGUGUGUGUGUGUGUGUGUGUGUCUGUGUGUAUAAGAGAGAGAGAGAAGGAGAGGCAUACAGAGGGGGUUAGAGAACUAAGGCAGUAACUUGGGGGAGAGAUUAAAUCCAUAUAGAUACUGUGGAAAAUCCAUUUACAAAGACCUACUAUGUGCAGGGCUCUUUCUGAUACCUGCCUGUCCUGGUAGGUGCUCAGUAAAAACUGCUGCAUCAAAUAGUCUGUUCAACACUUAUGGUCACACCUGAACCAGCACCUUAGCAAAUGAAUUACAGCUCUGGCCAGCUCUCCUUUAUUGUUCAUGAGAAGUCAGUAUCUUCAAAGAAAGAAAGGGCAAAAGUGACGGUUUCAAAGACAAGAUGCCUGCUCUGGGUGAUGCUUGUCUUUCCAGCACCCAGGCUGAAACUGAUUUCUGUCCUGGGAUUUAGCCCCCGGUCCUCGGGCUGCUGCCCCAGGUCUGAAACCAGAUGGCGAGCAGCCCAUCUCCCUCCAAGACCCU